ACCCAUCUCAUAUCAUUCCAUGCCUGAGAGCUCUUAUGUGCUCUGACAGACCUAUGUUGCCUAUGUUAUGGAGCUCAUCGAAUGGGUUGAGGAGAUUACAAACGGUUGAGAAGUUUCUAUAGUCAAGGUGUGCUAGCAACACCACAUUUGAGAAGAGGUGACCUAGGAGGAUGAAAAGGAGAUAUAGGAUCUGUAUCCCGAUUUACUUUAAAGAACUCUUGCAAAU
rnacentral:lncRNA from 1 species